ensembl:lncRNA
CGAGUUGGGAGACGGCAAGAUCGGGUCCGAAAAGGAAAAGCUCAGUGAGGGGAGACGGUUGUACUGUGCGAAAGUAAAAAUUCAAAUGGGCGAGAAGUUAUUAAAAAAAAAAAAAAAAAAAAAAAAAGUGGUGUAUUUCAAUUAAAGAAAGAAAGAAAAAAAGUCCUAAAAUGGAGCCGAACCGGGGUGCCGUCUGUCAGCCACCGACCGCAGCCGGGGGAACCGGGGCUGCCUCUUCCUGCCGCAGCGCUCCGCGCCCAGCCCGGAGGGGGAUCGGGGCGGCCCGAGCCGAGCGGAGCCGCCUCACCGCCUCUCGCACCGACGCCGCGGAGGGCUCAGCGCGGCGCUGGGGCGGCGGCUCCAGCUGAAAGAAUUAUUUAAGAACCUGAUUCUGGAUUCAGGAAGUGGAGUGCCUGCAGUUUUCAUCUGAUCUGAGGGGGAAGAAAGAAUGAAGAUUGAAGCUGCAAUCAUGUCACCUGAAGGAUUGCACUUUAGGACUGUUUGCUUUAGUAUGGUAAAUGAAGUGUCUGUGUCCUUCCCAUCCUUUCGUAGAUAAACUGGCUUUUUCAUUUCCUGAAUCCUGGGAAUGAUGUCAGAAAAAUGAAAAUUAUAACCCAGGAUAUCUUAAGUAUUUCUGUGGUAUGAGAGUCCCCUUGAGACAUGCUGACAAGAAAGAAGAAGGAAAACAAUGCAAAGGAGCGAUGUUUCUUGUUGGAUGAUAAGGGCCUCUGGAGAUGUCAAAGGUUUAUGGCAUCUCAUUUGUAAUUUCUUCCUGCAUGUAAAUCUGUGAUAUGCUUACUGCAGUAAUGCUUCAGCCUCACCCACCUGAGCAAGUGCAAAUAUAGCAGUGUUGUGGGACACCGUCUCUGACAUGGCAGAUCUCGAAGGAAUGUGUGUGAUGUAUCACUCAGUUCAUGGACAUGUAUGCCAUGUGGAGAGCAUUCCUGCAUAAUGUCCUGAUGCAUAUUAAUUAGACAAGCAAGAUACUCAUGUGAUGUAAAUCGGAUUCUUUCUUGGAAAUGUACUGAUUCAUAUCACAAGUCAGAAUCUAACCCAGUUUGCCCACUAUGUCAGAAAUUACAGUCUGUUUUACAAAUAAUCUAAACUAUUUUUAUAUGUUCAGGCAGAGAGAAUGUUUUAUUUUAGUGAUUAAUGGUUAAUCAUAUUAAUUUUAUUAGUGUGAUGAGAGAAGGAAUAUUAUCUGUAAAGGCUGUGGAAAGAUGGUAGCUUUCAAGAGAACUGGUGGGGCAUACAAGUAUGGGAGGUUUGGUGGUAAGACUGCAAAUGAUGGAAGAGAGGAAUACAAUGGGAGCAGGUGGAGAAACAGAGUUGGAGAAAACUUGUUUUGUAGGUGCACUUCUUUUUCGUGGAACUUCAUUAUUUGAAUAUCCUAAAGGUGGUCUUCACUCCAUUUCCUCAUGUCUUUCUGUUGGGUUACAGUAAAUGCUCUCAGUCUGAGCUGCUCGCUCUAUUGCUUUGUGUGCACCCAGAAUUGUGCUGACCCCAAGUGAUUGAGGUAUUUCCCCACUCUGGCAGAGACAUUGUGCUUCUUGAUCUCUUGUCUAAGCUGCUGGGCACUACACUCAAAAAAAAAAAUCACAAAAACUGCUGCAGCUUCAAGGUUUGCUGUACCCAGGUGCUUGGUUGUGAAUUUGCAUCAUUAAAGUUAGAUGAUUACGAAGCCUCUAGGAAAAGGUGAGUUACA